rnacentral:rRNA from 1 species
GACGAACGCUGGCGGCGUGCUUAACACAUGCAAGUCGAACGGAAAGGCCCUGCUUUUGUGGCGUGCUCGAGUGGCGAACGCGUGUGUAACACGUGUGUAACCUGCCCUUCACUUUGUGAUAACUUCAGGAACCUGGGCCUACUACCCGAUAGGAGCUCCUGCUGCAUGUUGGUGGUUGGAAAGUUUCGGCGGUUGGGGAUUGACUCGCCGCUUAUCAGCUUGUUGGUUGGGUAGUGGCUUACCAAGGUUUUGACGGGUAGCCGGCCUGAGUGGGUGACCGGGGACAAAGGGACUGAGAUACGGACCAGAGUCCAACGGGAGGCAGCAGUGGGGAAUAUAGCAGAAUGGGCGGAAGCAUGAUGAAGAAACGCCGCGUGCGGGAAGACGGCCUUCGGGUUGUAAACCGGUUUCGGCUGUGACGAAGAGUGAGUGACGGUAAUGGGUAAAGAAGCACCGGCUAACUACGUG